rnacentral:rRNA from 1 species
CCUACGGGAGGCUGCAGUGGGGAAUAUUGGACAAUGGGGGCAACCCUGAUCCAGCCAUGCCGCGUGUGUGAAGAAGGCCCUCGGGUUGUAAAGCACUUUCAGUGAGGAAGAACGCCUGGUGGUUAAUACCCAUCAGGAAAGACAUCACUCACAGAAGAAGCACCGGCUAACUCCGUGCCAGCAGCCGCGGUAAUACGGAGGGUGCGAGCGUUAAUCGGAAUUACUGGGCGUAAAGCGCGCGUAGGUGGCUUGAUAAGCCGGUUGUGAAAGCCCCGGGCUCAACCUGGGAACGGCAUCCGGAACUGUCAAGCUAGAGUGCAGGAGAGGAAGGUAGCAUUCCCGGUGUAGCGGUGAAAUGCGUAGAGAUCGGGAGGAAUACCAGUGGCGAAGGCGGCCUUCUGGACUGACACUGACACUGAGGUGCGAAAGCGUGGGUAGCAAACAGGAUUUAGAUACCCUAGUAGUC